AUGGGAGAUCUGAACAAUAUUGCAUAUUCUUUUGAAAAAGAGGGGGGGAGACCUCGUCCAGAUAGAUAUAUGAAGGCAUUCCGCGAUGCUCUUGAUGACUGUCAUCUUGUUGACUGUGGAUAUGUGGGAGAUAAAUUCACUUGGCAACGAGGCAUGAUCCAAGAAAGAUUGGAUAGAGCACUUGCAAAUGAUGGGUGGCAAAGGAAAUUUGUGAAUGCUACUAUACAUCAUAUGAAUUAUAGCAAGUCUGAUCAUAGGCCUAUUCUGAUGUCUCUGGAUGAAGAGCCGGUGCACGAGCAUAAUGGGUCGGCCCUGCUCAGGUUUGAAUCAAGAUGGCUGAAGGAGAAAAGAUUUUUGGAAGUUGUGCAGCAAGCAUGUGAUCGGUCUCAUGCUCCAGCUGGGAAUGUUUCGCUGGGCUAUCCACAAGGACCUGCACGUUUGGGACAGAUCAGUCCUUAA
rnacentral:rRNA from 1 species